rnacentral:lncRNA from 1 species
GUCAGGCACGCAGGUUAUACACAGAUAUGCAUACCUGCGAAACACUCAUACACGUCAAAUAAGUGUUUAAGAAAAAAAGAAAGAAAAAGGAAGAAAAUAGUGGGGCGAGUAAGUAGGGGACUAAGCUGGGGUUGUAGAUUAGUAGUAGAGCACUCAUGGCCAAGGCCCUUAGUUUAAUUUGGAGCACUGAAAAAUGCAACGUGUGUACGAAUAUCUUAUUAAUACUGCAAGUUAGGCAUCCAUUGUAUUACUUUCUGUAAAUGUGGAAUGUUUUGUAAUUUGUUUCUCAAUGUUGAUAAACCUAAGGCCUUCCAGGCGUCAGGCAAGCGCUGUUACGGUAAGCUUUAUCUCUAGCACCUACGUUCUUUCCGUAUAUUUGGAGAUUUAGAUCCAUGUUCGGCUGAAGGUUGAGGCUUUGCUGGAAUUUUAUCGCAGCUGCCCCCCACCUUUAGUUGUUUGGUUUUGUUCUGAGACAGGGUAUCUGGUAGCCUAGGCUGGCCUUGGACUUGGUGUAUAGUAGAUGGUGACUUUAAACUGAUCCUUUGCUUCUGCCUCAUAAGUGCCUGGAUUAUAUGGGAGUACAGGUGUGCACCCUGAUGUCCAGACGCUCCUCCAUCUUUUGAGGAUGGGUUGUUUUGUUUUAGUUCUUUGAGCUCUCAUUAUAUGGCCCUGCCUGGCCUAGAACUCAAUAUGUACACAAGGCUGGCCACAAACUUAGAGGGAUCUGCUUGCCUCUUCCUUGGUUAUAAUUAAAGGCAUGUGGCACCACAGACCUGCCUGGCUCCUGAAUUAUUAUUAUUUUUUUUCCGAGACAGGGUUUCUCUGUGUAGCCCUGGCUGUCCUGGAACUCACUCUGUAGACCAGGCUGACCUCGAACUCAGAAAUCCACCUGCCUCUGCCUCCCAAGUGCUGGGAUUAAAGGCGUGUGCCACCACACCUGGCUGGCUUCUUAACAAAUGUUAUUUUAUAUGUGAUAUAUAUAUAUAUAUAUAUAUGUAUAUUAAUUACCUGGCCUAUAUAUGUAAUAUAUAUGCUUAUAUGUGAUUAUAUAUAUAUAUAAAAUCUAGUACCUGUUCUCUCUCUCUCUCUCUCUCUCUAUAUAUAUAUAUAUACAUAUAUAUAUAUAUAUAUAUAUAUAUAUAUAUAUAUUUGUGUGUGUUUGUGACUUCUUGGAUGUUAAAUGCCUCAGCUUCUCUCUCUCUCUCUCUCUCUCUCUCUCUAACCUUUGCUUUAAAAACCUCUACUUCUCCACUUUUCUGAGGAUUCCCUUUAACUUCAUGAAAGAGAGAGACAAGUGACAUGCAGGAAGGGCCAUGUUACUCAGCCCAGCCUUUCCCAGCCAACUCUAAUGAACCACAGGUCCUCAAAAAAUAACACCAUCGAGGGGCAGUGAAGAGGACACUAUGAUCUGUCUCCAAAGACACUGUAUACAGCAAAGCUUCUGAAUUGUGUAACACGCAAUAUUAAGGUCACGAGCAAAGAUUUGAGGAGAACAUAGCUUUGGCUACUCUGUGAGGACAGCUCUAGAGUUUAAGAAAAACUCAUUAGUGGGCUGGGUAUGUGGCUCAGUGGUACAGUGCUUGCCUAAGUCCCAUAAGCCCCUUAAGUAAGUUGCAUCUAUAUAACAAUACCCAAGGCUGUACAAGGUUAAUAACAUUAAGCUAAACAGCCAGGCUUGAUUAGGAUUCUAUUGUUUGUGUGUGUGAUUCUGGGGGCCAAACCCAGGACCUUGGUCAUGCUAUGCAAAUGUUCUACCAUCAAGCUACAUCCCUGACACCAUAUAUAGCCCAGGCUAGCCUUUAAUUCAUGAUCUUCCUGCUUUAAUCUCAGUGCUGGGAUUAUAAAUGGCCACACUUCCAGCUAGCACCCUGUACUUUUGUUUUGUUUUUUGUUUUUCGAGACAGGGUUUCUCUGUAUAGCCCUGGCUGUCCUGGAACUCACUUUGUAGACCAGGCUGACCUCGAACUCAGAAAUCCACCUGCCUCUGCCUCCCGAGUGCUGGGAUUAAAGGCGUGCGCCACCAUGCUCGGCUUUUUUUUUUUUUUAAGAUGUUUUUUAUAUGUAUGAGUGUUUAGCUGCUCGUAUGUGCGCUGCAUUAUAUAUGCCUAGUGCCUUCAGAAACCAGAAGAGGGCAAUGCAUUCCCAGGAACUGGAGUUACAGACAACUG